CUCUAACCGGCCCCUGGGCCACCUCUCACAAUUGAGCCCCCAGCCCUUGAACACACGCACACACGCACACACGCUGAGCUACCGCCAAUGCUUGAGCCCCCAGCCCUUACACACACCCAUACACGUGCACAAACACACACACACGCUGAACCAACUUCAACACUUGAGCCCCCAGCCCCUAGAGAGAGACACACACACACACGCUGAUGCGGGAGCAUUUAGCACAGUUUCCUUGCUGAAAAAGCAGGACCUCGGUUUAGAAAAUGGAAAUUGCCCAGGAGGAAAAGAGAGCUGAGAUAUAUGCAGCCCCAGGUGCCUCCUUCUAAUUCAUCUUCACCAUUGUGGUUGUCAAUAUGGCAUGCAGAAUUAUCCCUCUUUCCAGGUUUUCCCCAAGGACCCUGGACAAUGCUGGUUUUUCCUAUGUGCACCACCAAAGGGCCUAUCCAGCUUCUGGAGUCUACCUGGAUUCCUGGGCUCAUGGCCCCUUCCUCCAUCUUCAAACCAGCAAUGCUAAAUCCAACUGGAAGCCUGAGAUUCAGGGAACCCACUACUGCAGUCCAUAAGGAUCAGCCUCCCUUGGCACAGAAGAGGAUGGGGAAAGGUGGAGCCUGUAUAGCUAGAUGAGCAAACCAAAAACUUCCAGCACGUACUGAUGGAGCUGAGCCUGACACUCUAACCGGUUCUCUGGGUGUACUGCAAAGGUCUAAUAAAAGGCACCUUUGCCCGGUUGCUUCAAUUCUAGGAAGCUGUUCAAUGUUUGACUAUAUUUCUCCAUACUCAUUUGAAAACAGUUCAUCAGGUUAGUUCAGUUGAAUUAUUGCUCCUUGGGAGUUUUCCAAACCCUGGAUUUCCUUCGGAGAGAGCUAGAUUCUAUUCCAUUCUUGGAAUUCAGCUCCUUGCCCUUCUCUGUGACCCCGGAUCGCGAAUGCAGUAAAAAUAAAAAUAUCCUGCUGCCUCCUGCACUAA
rnacentral:lncRNA from 1 species